AUUGAACGCUGGCGGCAGGCCUAACACAUGCAAGUCGAGCGAGCGGCGGACGGGUGAGUAAUGUAUGGGGACUGCCCGAUAGAGGGGGAUAACUACUGGAAACGGUAGCUAAUACCGCAUACUAUCGGAUAACCCAUAUGGGAUUAGCUAGUAGGUGAGGUAAUGGCUCACCUAGGCGACGAUCCCUAGCUGGUCUGAGAGGAUGAGCAGCCACACUGGUACUGGGACCGGGCCCAGACCCCUCCGGAGGUAGCAUGGGGGAAUAUUGCCCAGUGGGCACAGGCCUGAUGCGGCCAUGCCGCGUGUAUGAAGAAGGCCCUAGGGUUGAAAAGUUCUUUCAGUCGGGAGGCGUUACCGACAGAAGAAGCACCGGCUAACUCCGUGCCAGCAGCCGCGGUAAUUC
rnacentral:rRNA from 1 species